GAAGAACCUUACCUGGCCUUGACAUGGUAGGAACCCUUAAGAGAUUAGGGGGUGCUAGCUUGCUAGAACCUACACACAGGUGCUGCACGGCUGUCGUCAGCUCGUGUCGUGAGAUGUUGGGUUAAGUCCCGCAACGAGCGCAACCCUCGUCUUUAGUUGCUAACAGUUAGGCUGAGCACUCUAAAGAGACUGCCUCUGUAAGGAGGAGGAAGGUGAGGACGACGUCAAGUCAUCAUGGCCCUUACGGCCAGGGCUACACACGUGCUACAAUGGGGCGUACAGAGAGCUGCAAUACCGCGAGGUGGAGCCAAUCUCUUAAAGCGUCUCUCAGUUCGGAUUGUUCUCUGCAACUCGAGAACAUGAAGCUGGAAUCACUAGUAAUCGUAGAUCAGCUAUGCUACGGUGAAUACGUUCCCGGGUCUUGUACACACCGA
rnacentral:rRNA from 1 species